rnacentral:lncRNA from 1 species
UUUUCUUGAGGACUCCUGUGACAUAACGGGCAGUCUGUGGGAAGAGGGAAGCUCAUUGCCUGAUGUAUAUGGAAGGACUGGGUGCAGCCAAGGAGGUGCCAGUGAUGGCUGUUGGAGUCAGGCUACUCUUCUUGCAGCAGUCUCAGUCUGAGGCAUGAGAGACACAAAUCAGCAAGCGCGGGCAGCGACCCCUAGUGGGUGGAAGGGUGGGCGGAGGAUAAGCACGCAGUAUCACACAGGUCAGAUGUAGCUGUGUCUGAAAGUUGGCUGGUGUUAGCUGGCAUCCCCGUGUCCAGAGACAUCAUUUUCUUGAAGCAAGUGUAUGGAACCUGGACCCUGAUAACAAUUUCAGGUGUGUUUGGUGUCAUUUUGGGGCAGGGAAAUGAUAUAAAUGUUCAGGAGCCGUCCUUGACUGACCCGAUGUGUUGUAUAAAGGAAGUCUGUUCUCACAUCAGAGCACACGCCGCAUCUUUCUAAUAACAGGAAAAGUAGAAGGAAAAUCAAGGCUACACUCAAGUUGUUUGCCAAGAGGAGGUAAACUGUGUUGCUGUUACUUUUUUCGGGGGAACAGAUUAUGUAUGUGACAUGCAGCAAUGCUGGACAGAGGCCGCAGGGUGGCAACCUAGACAGUUCUGAAUCAACUGUCUAGUUUUGAGACAGACCUCAUUCUGUCCUCGGCUGCCUGACUGUAGCCUGGA